UGUGGCCACAGAUGCUCUCUAGAGACCAGGGUCUCAUGCCCUUGAUUCUGAGGGCCCCGGGCUUGCUGGAUGGGGGUUCACCAGGUAUCAUCCCGUUUCUGGUUGGAGCAAGGGACCUUGCCUCGCUAUUGAAAGCGCGCUGCUUUACUUCGAUUGUAGCUCCCCAUAAUCUCCGGAAUGAAGAGCAAGCGGUCCGGGCCGGGUGCGGUGGCUCAUGUCUGUAAUCCCGGCACUUCCGCAGGCCAAGGCAGGAGGAUCGCUGGAGCCCAGCCUGGGCAAAAUAGCAAGACCCCCUGUCUCUACCAAAAAAAAAAAAAAAAAAAAAAAGGCGGGGGUGGGGGGAUGGUUAACAAGCUGGGCAUGGUGGCGCACGCCGGUAGUUCCAGCUACUCGGUAGGCUGAGGUGGGAGGAUGGCUUGAGCCCAGGAUGUCCAGGCUGUGGUGAGCCAUGAUCACGCCACAGCACUCCAGCCUGGGCAACAGAGCGAGACCCUGU
rnacentral:lncRNA from 10 species